GGCGAUGAGACAUUGUAUAUUAAGCAAUAUGAAGGAAGGCCUCCAUCUUUUUCCCUGGCAAAUGGAGGGCGUUGUGCUGUGUGUGUCUCUUAGGAUGGUGGCAGAGGGCACCUAGUCAGCUUUGACCUAUUAAGCAUAAAAAUGUCCAAAAGUGUUGAAUAGUGUGAGAGGAUUUUUCUUCUAAAGAAGCCCCUCUGAGGCCGAGGCUUCCCUCAGGGAUCCGCCAUUUUGUGCUCUUCCCUUCUCUUCUCCUCAGCACGGCCGGGCAGCACAAAAUGGCUCCUCCUCAGGCCUCCCUUCCCCUCAGAACAGAAAGAAAGAUAGAAGGAGUUUCGCCUUUGGAGGGAGGCCAGGCCACGCUUGCCGAAAGCGAAAGCCACACCGAAGCAAUAAUAAGUAAUGUGAGAAUCCUUUCACAAGAUCCGUUGUCAGGAGGCCAAGAUUUCGAGUCCCUCAAGGUUUCUUCAUGCGGCAGCAAAGAGGCAUUGUGUUUGGUGUCCAUUUCUCGAAAAGACAUUCAGGAAGCUGCUUGGAGAAGAACAACAUGCUGCUCCUGUAUGGCUGCCGCACAGUUCUUUACAUUUUUGUGACUGUCCAAUUUCAGUCCCGCUGUUGUGAAGGUUUCCCUGCGAUCCUCGGUUGCCUCCUGCUGGACAUAUUGAUUCCUCCACAGAAAGAAAACCAGGUGGUUUCUGAGAAAUCAUGCCAGGCCUGAGCCAGUCCCAAGGAAUGAGAUAAUCUUCCCUCCCACACAGAAUGUAACAGGCUAAAUCUAGUGCUGAUCUGAGAGACGCAUCCGUGUUUGUGAAUACUGACUGUGCAAAAACGGCUUCCGCUCAAAGGUUGGAAAGACACCUAUUAAAUCAUAUGUUGCUCAAUUACUGGUAUAAUUUUACUGCUUCCACAUUAAAGUGUAUUUCAUACACAACUAUUGCAAGAUGUUUCUCCCCAGAAAUAAAUAUGACUGGCUUCCAUUAAUGUACAGUAGAGUCUCACUUAUCCAAGACUCGCUUAUCCAAGUUUCUGGAUUAUCCAAGCCAUUUUUGUAGUCAAUGUUUUCAAUAUAUCGUGAUAUUUUGGUGCUAAAUUCGUAAAUACAGUAAUUACUACAUAACAUUACUGCGUAUUGAACUGCUUUUUCUGUCAAAUUUGUUGUAAAACAUGAUGUUUUUGUGCUUAAUUUGUAAAAUCAUAACCUAAUUUGAUGUUUAAUAGGCUUUUCCUUAAUCCUUAUUAUCCUGAAGGGACCAUAAGCCAGAAAGUAGUAAAAUAUUGCCUAUGUAGUUUUGCCUCUGCCUAUAACCCUCCCUUCCUGUGAACUGGUGCCUUCCUUCAAGAAGUUCCAGAGAGAGAAGAAAGCUCAGAGUAAACAAGUUAGGUCAUUGGUAUCACUGGUGCCAAAGUAGGUGUGGAAGGUGAGGAAGACCCUCAGGCAUUGGUCAAUUCCAGAUAAGCCAAAAAGGUAUAAAUUCUUUUUUUGCUACGCUCAUAUGGUGGCAACCAUUUGCAAGUACAAACCUUUUAGGGUGUGUACGGCUGUCCUGCCUUCUCAUAGCCAUGUGAAAAUAAACUUUGCUUUUUGCAUCUCUCACGAGACUGAGUUUGUCUGCCUGAUUUCCCUCCUGAGCCAGGACCCUUUGAAGGUAAUUGUCUUACAAUCCAAGAUAUUCGCUUAUCCAAGCUUCCGCUGGCCCAUUUAGCUUGGAUAAGUGAGACUCUACUGUAUAUGACUACCUCGUGUUAAUAUCCCCUAUGUGCAUGCUAUUUCUUUUUUUGUCUCUCUAAUCAUUUCAUUAAAACCUAAUCUAAUUAUUACAAUUGAUAUUGUUGUCUCCCUAACCUGAACUCAAGCUUUUAUUCCCACAAAGCCUUAAAUGCACCCUACAUUGCAGUUGUUCUUGCAAAAUUAACUUUUGCCCUUCCUCCUCCUCCUCCUCCUCCUCCUCCUUCUUUUUCUUCUUCUUCUUCUUAUUGUUGUUAGACUUGUUACCUGGGGCUCCUUCUACAAGAUCCCUAUAUCCCAAGAUCUGACCCCAGAUUAUCUGCUUUAAACUAGAUUAUCUGGCAGUAUAACCCAGUGGCGCAGCAGGCUAAACUGCUGAGCCGCUGAACUUACUGACUGAAAGGUCAGCAGUUCGAAUUUGAGGAGCAGGGUGAGCUCCUGCUGUUAGCCCCAG
rnacentral:lncRNA from 11 species